UCCCUGGUUGGAACCCAAUCCCCCAACCUCAAGCUCUGCAGACAUCUUCCCUGAUCAAUGUCCUGUCCUCUUUUCUCUGUCAAGUUGUUCCUCCUUCCCGAGCUCUAUUGUGAUUUGGGGCACCUGAGGAAUUAACUAUUUCUCUCGUGUCUUUGCCUAACCACAGGUGAAUGUCUCGACCCGCUUUUAAGCUGGCUCCGCCCUCUGGACGCGUUCUUUUAAAGAAUGGCUAUUGCUGACUCCUGGAAUGCUGUUUGGAAAAGACUACGGAGAGAGUGAUUCUUCAUCAGUGAUUAAGCAUCUUUUCAUGAUUAAUGCAGAGCUGUGAGAAGACAGAAGCAGUGGAAUGACACCACAACAUCUGUGCAUUGAGAAGGGCACUCUGCUGCGGCAUGGCAUUCUGUGCCUUGUUCUUCAUUCCCGGACCCAAGCUGACUUAUCAGUCUCACAGCAGUGGGGAAAGAGCUAUGGAAGAACCAGGAACAGGAACCAUACAACGUGUCUUACAUCUUCUGUCCUAUAUCACUUAUGCUCGCAUCUCGUUGGGCAAGAAAAGUUGUGGGGUCAAAUAUGAUGUCCAGGGAUAAGAAUAGUAGAGACAGCCAGCUAAAAUUGAGAGCAAAUAAGAUAACCUAUCCUACUCCCACAUUUUUAAGCAGUGAGCUUGAGACAGAAUCACUACCUUAGGGAACCUACACUUUAGUAUGAAAAUGUGGAGGUGUGCCAGGACCUGCUUUGGCAAAAAAACAAUGAAUAACCUGGUAAGACGAGAGAAUGUAAGGGAAGAUUACACUGGAAAGAACAUAUGUGGUCAGAUCAGAAAGACCUUAAAUACCCUUUCUAAAGAUUAGACUUAGUUUUAGAAUCAAUGGGCAGUAACUAAGUUGUCUGAAGUAGAGGUGUAGUGGUUAGUUCUUUGUGUCAAAUUGAUAGUCUAUGUAGUACAUAAUUACUUCAUUAAACACUGAUUUAGGUGUUACUGUGAAGCUAUUUUUCAGAUGGGGCUAAUAUCUACAGUCAGUUGACUUUAAGUAAAGAAUGUAGGUGGGCCUCACCCAAUCAGUUAAAGGCUUAAGAGCAAAAACAUAUUUCCUGGAGGAGAAGAAAUUCUGUCUCAAGAUGGCAGUGUAGAAAUCCCACCUGAGUUUCCAGCCUGCUGGCCUGCCCUGUAAGUGCUGGAUUUGCUAGCCCCCACAAUCGCAUGAGCCGAUUUUUAAAUAUCUUUAUAAAUAUAGAUAUAGAGAUAGAUAGAUAGAUAACCUAUUGGUUCUGUUUCUCUGGAAAACCCUAGUUCAUAAGAGAAUAUCAUGAUUCAAUUUUGUAUAGAUGGAAGAGAUUUUGCAAAUUAGAAAGGAAAGAAUUUGCUAACUGCUCAGAGGUCAGCAUGAGAGGAAAGAAUUAAAGAUGAACCCAGGACACUAUUAUUUUGUAAGCUAAGUAAUUCUACUUUUUAUAUUAUUUCUUGAAACU
ensembl:lncRNA novel transcript